AUUGAUUUGGAAAAGGGGGGGGGUAUUUGUUUAUUUGUUUGUUUGUUUGCUUUGGUAUGGGGUCUAUAUUAUUAUGUUACCGGAGAAGUUUCAUGUUUAGUUUGGAAAGUUUUUCUUUUAUUUUAGAUACAGCGCGCGCGCAAGAUUGAGGAGACAUCACGUGACGCGGGUUUAUAUUAAGAAAAACUUAGUCUUUUAAUUUCUUUUUAGGUCGGGACCUUGAACAGACAACAUGUAUAGAGAUGGAAUGUACACAAUGUAAUUUCUUUUGUCAUUGUAGGAAAUUGACAACUUGAUGACAGUUCACGGGCAGUGCAUGUUUUGGAUUUAAUUGAUCCGGUGUUACUUUAAAACACAUUUAUUGAUUAUUUUCUGAUAUUGUACAUUUUUCAGCACCUGUUUGUAACACAGAUUAGUAUUUCAAUCUCGGAGCGGACAUUUUAUUGUAGGUUUUUACUGAGAUUUACGGACCUAGCAAGCGAUUUUUACGGCAUUGCCAUUUCUUUUGUCUAGGAAAAGCUUUGAGAGAUAUCUGCACCAAGUUUUUUUAUAAACUUUCAGUACAUGUAUGCCCUGCUGACUGCAAAUUUUGAGGUCGAUUGUACUUGUAGUUUCAGAGUACAUGUGGAUUUUUUUUCAGAAGUGACGCAAGAACAAUAUUGAAUUUCGAUUUUUCAUGAAACAUGAUUUAUUGAUCAUGAUCAUGAUUGAUUGAUUGAUUGAUUGAUUGAUUGAUUGAUUGAUUGGUUGAUUAGUUGGUUGGUUGGUUGGUUGGUUAAACACGUUGUUUAAACAUGUUGCUUAAACACGUUGGUUAAACACAUUGGAUAGGCUCAAAAUUGGAUCCCGUAUUUAACGCAUGAAACGGAAACAUGCAUUGAUUGAUUGAUUGGUUGGUUGGUUGGUUAAACACGUUGGUUAAACAUGUUGGUUAAACACGUUGGUUAAACAUAUUGGCUGGUUAAACACGUUGGAUAGGCUCAAUUUAAACAAGCGGAAAAAAAACCAUCUUGGAUCCCGUAUUUAACACAUGAAACGGAAACAUGCAUUGAUUGGUUGGUUGGUUAAACACGUUGGUUAAACAUGUUGGUUAAACACGUUGGUUAAACAUAUUGGUGAAACACGUUGGAUAGGCUCAAUUUAAACAAGCGAAAAAAAAAACACAUCUUGGAUCCCGUAUUUAACACAUGAAACGGAAACAUGCAUUGAUUGAUUGGUUGGUUGGUUGGUUGGUUGGUUGGUUGGUUGGUUAAACAUGUUGGUUAAACAUAUUGGUUAAACACGUUGGCUGGUUAAACACGUUGGAUAGGCUCAAUUUAAACAAGCGAAAAAAAAACACAUCUUGGAUCCCGUAUUUAACACAUGAAACGGAAACAUGCAUUGAUUGAUUGGUUGGUUGGUUGGUUGGUUUUGGUUAAACACGUUGGUUAAACAUGUUGGUUAAACACGUUGGUUAAACAUAUUGGUUAAACACGUUUGAUAGGCUCAAUUAAAACAAGCGAAAAAAAAGAGACCUUGAAUCCCGUAUCAAACACAUGAAACGGAAACAUUGAUUGAUUGAUUGAUUGAUUGAUUGAUUGAUUGAUUGAUUGGUUGGUUGGUUGGUUGGUUGAAAUUCAAACACACAUAAAACUGUUUAAAUAGUGCCAAAACCACAUAAUUUGAUGACCUUGACCUUUGACCUUGUGACUUUCGUCAAGGUCAUUGCUACACAAGGUCAUUGCAAAAGACCCUAUGGGUCAAGGACCUUUUGUUAAAGAGUUUUGCCUAAAAAUGGCUUUUUAAAAACCAUCGAUGGGAGUUAUGUCCCUUACAUGAUGGUAAAAUCAAUAUAGUCAUAAUGUAAAAAAGUUGCCCCUUGAAGUACCAAGCAUUUUUCACUGCUUAAUAUUUUUGUAUCUAUAACCGUUCAAGAAUUAUAGGGAAAUGAAAAACUUAUAAAAAUCUAAAAUAUGACCUUGACCUUUGACCUUGACCUAAUUUUCUAAGUUAGGAUCCAGGGGACUCAAAUAAAAACAUUCCAGGGUUAUACGGUUAACGGUUUAUGAGUUAAAAAAACAUACCGACAAAUUUAUUCCGUAAAGGUAGAUAACUCCUAUAAAAUUUCAUCGAAUCGCUUCGAUCCAAAUGAGCCAAAAAUUAGUGAGGAUGUAACGAACAAUUUGUAAAAAGAAUUUUGUCGCUAUCUUUUUUUGUUACGAAGGAGAUGCACACACUGAUGAUAAACAGUGAAAUAGGGAGAUAACUCUUACAAAGAAAAUUGGUUCGGCUUAGCAGGGUGAAAUUUAAAAAAGCGCAUAAACUAUACGAUACAAUAUGAGAAAUAUCUAAAGCGACAUAUUGCGAAACAAACAUUUAUCGCAAGAACAAAAGUUGGCGGAAAAAAAAAAAAUAAUAAUAAUAAUUAAAAACCAAUUGUUCAGAGAACAAUUGAAAGUCUUUCCACACCAAAGAAAUUUGGAUAAGAAGGUAGUUUCUUCAUACUGAUGCGAUAAAUAAUGGUUUAAUUAUCUUUUUGAGUGAUAUAAGGGAGAUAAUAUGCUACUUCCGGUGAAAUGAAUGUCACAUCUGGUCUCAUAUGAUAGCUUCUUUCACACUGAUUGCAAAAAAUAUAUAGUUUCUAUAUAUACUUUUGUAUGUAGAAUGGGAGAUAAUUGGCCACUUCCGGUUUGUUGGAAGUCAUUUUUAGUCUUCAGUAAUCAGUUUAUGUAUCUAUAUGACAAAAUAUAUGGAUUCUGAGUACUUUUAUGUGAAAAAAUUGCAAAAAAAAGCUACUUCCGGUUUUCUCAAGGUCACUUCCGGUAGCCAUUUUUCAAGGUCAUUUGUCACUUAACCUUUUGUAUAAGGUCAAAUGUCUUUAUAAUGAACUUACUUGAAGUUAUAAUCAAAUAACCUCAUAUCAAGACAUUUCAGGGGCAACAACUCCUAUAAGAUGCCAUUUAAUUGUAUAAGACUAAAUGUAGCAUAUCUUCAUUACAAUUAAACGGACAUUUUGCACUUGUUCUUUUAUAUGUAUCUCUCAAAGUGAGUGAGAAAAUGCAAAAACAAGCAAAAGUCACAAUUGAGAACUUGACCUUGACCUUUGACCUUGACCUCAUUUUCUAAGUUAGGACCUAGGGGACUCAAAUAAAAACAUUCCAGGGUUAUACGGUUAACUGUUUAUGAGUUAAAAAAAACAUACCGACAAAUUUAUUUUGUAAAGGUAGAUAACUCCUAUAAAAUUUCAUCGAAAUCGCUUCGAUCCAAAUACGCCAAAAAAUUACUGAGGAUGUAACGAACAAUUUGUAAAAAGAAUUUUGUCGCUAUCUUUUUUUGUUACGAAGGAGAUACGCACACUGAUGAUAAACAGUGAAAUAGGGAGAUAACUCUUACAAAGAAAAUGGUUCGGCUUAGCAGGGUGAAAUUUAAAAGCGCAUAAACUAUACGAUACCAAUAUGAGAAAUAUCUAAGCGACAUAUUGCGAAACAAACAUUUAUCGCAAGAACAAAAGUUGGCGGAAAAAAAAAAAAAAUAAUAAUAAUAAAAAACCAAUUGUUCAGAGAACAAUUGAAAGUCUUUCCACACCAAAGAAAUUUGGAUAAGAAGGUAGUUUCUUCAUACUGAUGCGAUAAAUGAUGGUUUAAUUAUCUUUUUGAGUGAUAUAAGGGAGAUAAUAUGCUACUUCCGGUGAAAUGAAUGUCACAUCCGGUCUCAUAUGAUAGCUUCUUUCACACUGAUUCCAAAAAUAUAUAGUUUCUAUAUACUUUUGUAUGUAGAAUGGGAGAUAAUUGGCCACUUCCGGUUUGUUGGAAGUCAUUUUUAGUCUUCAGUAAUCUGUUCAUGUAUCUAUAUGACAAACUAUAUGGAUUCUGAGUACUUUUAUGUGAAAAAAUUGCAAAAAAAGCUACUUCCGGUUUUCUCAAGGUCACUUCCGGUAGCCAUUUUUCAAGGUCAUUUGUCACUUAACCUUUUGUAUCAAGUCAAAUGUCUUUAUAAUGAACUUAAUUGAAGUUUAAUCAAAUAACUUCAUAUCAAGACAUUUCAGGGGCACAACUCCUAUAAGAUGCCAUUUAAUUGUAUAGACUAAAUGUAGCAUAUCUUCAUUACAAUAAAGCAGACAUUUUGCACUUGUUUUUUUUAUGUAUCUUCAAAGUAGAAAAUGCAAAAACAAGCAAAAGUCACAAUUAGAACUUGACCUUGACCUUUGACCUUGACCUAAUUUUCUAAGUUAGGAAUCAGGGGACUCAAAUAAAAACAUUCCAGGGUUAUACGGUUAACGGUUUAUGAGUUAAAAAAACAUACCGACAAAUUUAUUCCGUAAAGAUAGAUAACUCCUAUAAAAUUUCAUCGAAUCGCUUCGAUCCAAAUUAGCCAAAAAUUUUCUGAGGAUGUAACGAACAAUUUGUAAAAAGAAUUUUGUCGCUAUCUUUUUUUGUUACGAAGGAGAUGCACACACAGAUGAUAAACAGUGAAUAGGGAGAUAACUCUUACAGAGAAAAUUGUUCGUCUUAGCAGGGUGAAAUUUAAAAGCGCAUAAACUAUACGAUACAAUAUGAGAAAUAUCUAAGCGACAUAUUGCGAAACAAACAUUUAUCGCAAGAACAAAAUUUGGCGGAAAAAAAAAAAAAAAAAUAAUAAUAAAGAAAAACAAUAAGUCUUUCCACAGAAAAGUGGAAAGACUUAAUAAUAAUAAAUAUAAAGCAAUUGUUUUGAAAACAAUUGUUAGGCAGUCUUUCCCCUCUGAUGAAUGGAUAAUUGAUUUUUUUUAUUGAUUGAUUUGGAAAAAAAAGGGGGGGGGGGUAUUUGUUUAUUUGUUUGUUUGUUUGCUUUGGUAAAGGGUCUAUAUUAUUAUGUUACCGGAGAAGUUUCAUGUUUAGUUUGGAAAGUUUUUCUUUUAUUUUAGAUACAGCGCGCGCGCAAGAUUGAGGAGACAUCACGUGACGCGGGUUUAUAUUAAGAAAAACUUAGUCUUUUAAUUUCUUUUUAGGUCGGGACCUUGAACAGACAACAUGUCUAGAGAUGGAAUGUACACAAUGUAAUUUCUUUUGUCAUUGUAGGAAAUUGACAUUUUGAUCACAGUUCACCAGCAGUGCAUGUUUUGGAUUUAAUUGAUUCCGGUGUAACUUUAAAACACAUUUAAUGAUUAUUUUUUGAUAAUGUCCAUUUUUCAGCACCUGUUUGUAACACAGAUUAGUAUUUCAAUCUCGGAGCGGACAUUUUAUUGUAGGUUUUUACUGAGAUUGACGGACCUAGCAAGCGAUUUUUACGGCAUUGCCAUUUCUUUUUUCUAGGAAAAGUCUUGAGAGAUAUCUGCAAAAAGUUUUUUUUAUGAACCUUCAGUACAUGUAUGCCCUGCUGACUGCAAAUUUUCAGGUCGAUUGGACUUGUAGUUUCAGAGAAUAUGUGGAUUUUUUUUCAGAAGAGACGUAAGAACAAUAAUAAAAUAAAAAUUUUCUUGAAUAAUUGAGAGUUUGUUCCUUCAAUAAACUGUCAUAAAUAAACAGUCAUACAUAUUGAUUGAUUGAUUAGUUGGUUGAUUGAUUGGUUGGUUGGUUGGUUGGUUUGUUGGUUGGUUGAUUAAACACGUUUGAUAGGGUCACUUAGAACAAGGGGAAAAAAGACCUCAAGAGACCUUGCAUCCCGUAUUAAACGCAUGACACGGAAACAUACAUUAAGUGAUUGAUUGGUUGGUUGGUUGGUUGGUUAAACACGUUGGUUAAACAUGUUGGUUUAACACGUUGGUUAAACACGUUGGCUGGUUAAACACGUUUGAUGGGCUCAAUUUAAACAAGCGAAAAAAAAACAUCUUGGAUCCCGUAUUUAACACAUGAAACGGAAACAUGCAUUGAUUUAUUUAUUGGUUGGUUGGUUGGUUGGUUGGUUGGUUAAACACGUUGGUUAAACAUGUCGGUUAAACACGUAGUUUAAACACGUUGGCUGGUUAAACACGUUUGAUAGGCUCAAUUUUAACAAACGAAAAAAAACCAUCUCGGAUCCCGUAUUUAACACAUGAAACGGAAACAUGCAUUGAUUGAUUGAUUGGUUGGUUGGUUGGUUGGUUAAACACGUUGGUUAAACACAUUGGAUAGGCUCAAAAUUGGAUCCCGUAUUUAACACAUGAAACGGAAACAUGCAUUGAUUGAUUGAUUGGUUGGUUGGUUAAACACGUUGGUUAAACAUGUUGGUUAAACACGUUGGUUAAACAUAUUGGUUAAACACGUUGGUUAAACAUAUUGGUUAAACACGUUGGCUGGUUAAACACGUUGGAUAGGCUCAAUUUAAACAAGCGAAAAAAAACCAUCUUGGAUCCCGUAUUUAACACAUGAAACGGAAACAUGCAUUGAUUGAUUGAUUGAUUGAUUGGUUGGGUGGUUGGUUGGUUAAACAUGUUGGUUAAACACGUUGGUUAAACACGUUGGCUGGUUAAACACGUUAGAUAGGCUCAAUUUAAACAAGCGAAAAAAACCAUCUUGGAUCCCGUAUUUAACACAUGAAACGCAAACAUGCAUUGAUUGGUUGGUUGGUUGGUUGGUUGGUUGGUUGGUUGGUUGGUUGGUUGGUUGGUUGGUUGGUUGGUAGGUUGGUUAAACACGUUGGUUAAACAUGUUGGUUAAACACGUUGGUUAAACACGUUGGCUGGUUAACACGUUAGAUAGGCUCAAUUUAAACGAGCGAAAAAAAACCAUCUUGGAUCCCGUAUUUAACACAUGAAACGGAAACAUGCAUUGAUUGAUUGAUUGAUUGAUUGGUUUUGGUUGGUUGGUUGGUUGGUUGGUUGGUUGGUUAAACAUGUUGGUUAAACACGUUGGUUAAACACGUUGGCUGGUUAAACACGUUAGAUAGGCUCAAUUUAAACGAGCGAAAAAAAACAUCUUGGAUCCCGUAUUUAACACAUGAAACGGAAACAUGCAUUGAUUGAUUGAUUGAUUGAUUGGUUGGUUGGUUGGUUGGUUGGUUGGUUUUGGUUGGUUGGUUAAACACGUUAGUUAAACAUAUUUGUUAAACAUGUUGGUUAAACACGUUUGAUAGGCUCAAUUAAAACAAGCGAAAAAAAAGAGACGUUGAAUCCCGUAUCAAACACAUGAAACGGAAACAUUGAUUGAUUGAUUGAUUGAUUGAUUGAUUGAUUGAUUGAUUGAUUGGUUGGUUGGUUGGUUGGUUGGUUGGUUGGUUGGUUGGUUGGUUGGUUGGUUGGUUGGUUGGUUGGUUGAAAUUCAAACACACAUAAAACUGUUUAAAUAGUGCCAAAACCACAUAAUUUGAUGACCUUGACCUUUGACCUUGUGACCUUCGUCAAGGUCAUUGCUCCACAAGGUCAUUGCAAAAGACCCUAUGGGUCAAGGACCUUUGUUUAAGAGUUUUGCCUAAAUAUGGCUUUUUAAAAACCAUCGAUGGGAGUUAUGUCCCUUACAUGAUGGUAAAAUCAAUAUAGUCAUAAUGUAAAAAAGUUGCCCCUUGAAGUACUUAACAUUUUUCACUGCUUAAAUUUUCUGUAUCUAUAACCAUUCAAGAAUUAUAGGGAAAUCAAAGACAUAUGAAAAUCUAAAAUAUGACCUUGACCUUUGACCUUGACCUAAUUUUCUAAGUUAGGAAUCAGGGGACUCAAAUAAAAACAUUCCAGGGUUAUACGGUUAACGGUUUAUGAGUUAAAAAAACAUACCGACAAAUUUAUUCCGUAAAGAUAGAUAACUCCUAUAAAAUUUCAUCGAAUCGCUUCGAUCCAAAUUAGCCAAAAUUUUCUGAGGAUGUAACGAACAAUUUGUAAAAAGAAUUUUGUCGCUAUCUUUUUUUGUUACGAAGGAGAUGCACACACAUGAUAAACAGUGAAUAGGGAGAUAACUCUUACAGAGAAAAUUGUUCGUCUUAGCAGGGUGAAAUUUAAAAGCGCAUAAACUAUACGAUACAAUAUGAGAAAUAUCUAAGCGACAUAUUGCGAAACAAACAUUUAUCGCAAGAACAAAAGUUGGCGGAAAAAAAAAAAAUAAUAAUAAUAAUAAUAAAAACCAAUUGUUCAAGAACAAUUGAAUAAAUAUAAUAAUAUGAUAAAAUAAUAACAAAAAUGUCAAUAUGAUAGCUUCUUUCACACUGAUUCCAAAAUAUAUAGUUUCUAAUACUUUUGUAUAGAAUGGGAGAUAAUUGGCACUUCCGGUUUGUUGGAAGUCAUUUUUAGUCUUCAGUAAUCUGUUUAUGUAUCUAUAUGACAAAAUAUAUGGAUUCUGAGUACUUUUAUGUGAAAAAAUUGCAAAAAAGCUACUUCCGGUUUUUCAAGGUCACUUCCGGUAAUUUUUCAAAGGUCAUUUGUCAUUAACCUUUUGUAUAAGGUCAAAUGAUUUAUAAUGAACUUAAUUGAAGUUAUAAUCAAAUAACCUCAUAUCAAGACAUUUCAGGGGCAAAACUCCUAUAAGAUGCCAUUUAAGUAUAAGACUAAAUGUAGCAUAUCUUCAUUACAAUAAGCUGAACAUUUUGCACUUGUUCUUUAAUAUGUAUCUUUCAAAGUGUCGGAGAAAAUGCAAAAACAAGCAAAAGUCACAAUUGAGAACUUGACCUUGACCUUUGACCUUGACCUAUUUUCUAAGUUAGGACCUAGGGGACUCAAAUAAAAACAUUCCAGGGUUAUACGGUUAACGGUUUAUGAGUUAAAAAACAUACCGACAAAUUUAUUUUGUAAAGGUAGAUAACUCCUAUAAAAUUUCAUCGAAUCGCUUCGAUCCAAAUAGCCAAAAAUUUCUGAGGAUGUAACGAACAAUUUGUAAAAGAAAUUUUGUCGCUAUCUUUUUUUGUUACGAAGGAGAUGCACACACAUGAUAAACAGUGAAUAGGGAGAUAACUCUUACAAAGAAAAUGUUCGCUUAGCAGGGUGAAAUUUAAAAGCGCAUAAACUAUACGAUACAAUAUGAGAAAUAUCUAAGCGACAUAUUGCGAAACAAACAUUUAUCGCAAGAACAAAAUUUGGCGGAAAAAAAAAAAAAAAAUAAUAAUAAUAAUAAAAAUAAAGCAAUUGUUUUGAAAACAAUUGUUAGGCAGUCUUUCCCCUCUGAUGAAUGGAUAAUUGAUUUUUUUAUUGAUUGAUUUGGAAAAAAGGGGGGGGGGGGUAUUUGUUUUUUUUGUUUGUUUGUUUGUUUUUGCUUUGGUAUGGGUCUAUAUUAUUAUGUUACCGGAGAAGUUUCAUGUUUAGUUUGGAAAGUUUUUCUUUUAUUUUAGAUACAGCGCGCGCGCAAGAUUGAGGAGACAUCACGUGACGCGGGUUUAUAUUAAGAAAAACUUAGUCUUUUAAUUUCUUUUUAGGUCGGGACCUUGAACAGACAACAUGUCUAGAGAUGGAAUGUACACAAUGUAAUUUCUUUUGUCAUUGUAGGAAAUUGACAUUUUGAUCACAGUUCACCAGCAGUGCAUGUUUUGGAUUUAAUUGAUUCCGGUGUAACUUUAAAACACAUUUAAUGAUUAUUUUUUGAUAAUGUCCAUUUUUCAGCACCUGUUUGUAACACAGAUUAGUAUUUCAAUCUCGGAGCGGACAUUUUAUUGUAGGUUUUUACUGAGAUUGACGGACCUAGCAAGCGAUUUUUACUGCAUUGCCAUUUCUUUUUUCUAGGAAAAGUCUUGAGAGAUAUCUGCAAAAAGUUUUUUUAUGAACCUUCAGUACAUGUAUGCCCUGCUGACUGCAAAUUUUCAGGUCGAUUGGACUUGUAGUUUCAGAGAAUAUGUGGAUUUUUUUUCAGAAGAGACGUAAGAACAAUAAUAAAAUAAAAAUUUUCUUGAAUAAUUGAGAGUUUGUUCCUUCAAUAAACUGUCAUAAAUAAACAGUCAUACAUAUUGAUUGAUUGAUUAGUUGGUUGAUUGAUUGGUUGGUUGGUUGGUUGGUUUGUUGGUUGGUUGAUUAAACACGUUUGAUAGGGUCACUUAGAACAAGGGGAAAAAAAGACCUCAAGAGACCUUGCAUCCCGUAUUAAACGCAUGACACGGAAACAUACAUUAAGUGAUUGAUUGGUUGGUUGGUUGGUUGGUUAAACACGUUUGGUUAAACAUGUUGGUUUAACACGUUGGUUAAACACGUUGGCUGGUUAAACACGUUUGAUAGGCUCAAUUUAAACAAGCGAAAAAAAAACAUCUUGGAUCCCGUAUUUAACACAUGAAACGGAAACAUGCAUUGAUUUAUUUAUUGGUUGGUUGGUUGGUUGGUUGGUUGGUUAAACACGUUGGUUAAACAUGUCGGUUAAACACGUAGUUUAAACACGUUGGCUGGUUAAACACGUUUGAUAGGCUCAAUUUUAACAAGCGAAAAAAAACCAUCUCGGAUCCCGUAUUUAACACAUGAAACGGAAACAUGCAUUGAUUGAUUGAUUGGUUGGUUGGUUGGUUGGUUAAACACGUUGGUUAAACACAUUGGAUAGGCUCAAAAUUGGAUCCCGUAUUUAACACAUGAAACGGAAACAUGCAUUGAUUGAUUGAUUGGUUGGUUAAACACGUUGGUUAAACAUGUUGGUUAAACACGUUGGUUAAACAUAUUGGUUAAACACCUUGGUUAAACAUAUUGGUUAAACACGUUGGCUGGUUAAACACGUUGGAUAGGCUCAAUUUAAACAAGCGAAAAAAAAACAUCUUGGAUCCCGUAUUUAACACAUGAAACGGAAACAUGCAUUGAUUGAUUGAUUGAUUGUUGGUUGGUUGGUUGGUUGGUUGGUUAAACAUGUUGGUUAAACACGUUGGUUAAACACGUUGGCUGGUUAAACACGUUAGAUAGGCUCAAUUUAAACAAGCGAAAAAAAAAACCAUCUUGGAUCCCGUAUUUAACACAUGAAACGCAAACAUGCAUUGAUUGGUUGGUUGGUUGGUUGGUUGGUUGGUUGGUUGGUUGGUUGGUUGGUUGGUUGGUUGGUUGGUAGGUUGGUUAAACACGUUGGUUAAACAUGUUGGUUAAACACGUUGGUUAAACACGUUGGCUGGUUAACACGUUAGAUAGGCUCAAUUUAAACGAGCGAAAAAAAACCAUCUUGGAUCCCGUAUUUAACACAUGAAACGGAAACAUGCAUUGAUUGAUUGAUUGAUUGAUUGGUUGGUUGGGUGGUUGGUUGGUUAAACAUGUUGGUUAAACACGUUGGUUAAACACGUUGGCUGGUUAAACACGUUAGAUAGGCUCAAUUUAAACGAGCGAAAAAAAACAUCUUGGAUCCCGUAUUUAACACAUGAAACGGAAACAUGCAUUGAUUGAUUGAUUGAUUGGUUGGUUGGUUGGUUGGUUGGUUGGUUGGUUGGUUGGUUGGUUAAACACGUUAGUUAAACAUAUUUGUUAAACAUGUUGGUUAAACACGUUUGAUAGGCUCAAUUAAAACAAGCGAAAAAAAAGAGACGUUGAAUCCCGUAUCAAACACAUGAAACGGAAACAUUGAUUGAUUGAUUGAUUGAUUGAUUGAUUGAUUGAUUGAUUGAUUGGUUGGUUGGUUGGUUGGUUGGUUGGUUGGUUGGUUGGUUGGUUGGUUGGUUGGUUGGUUGAAAUUCAAACACACAUAAAACUGUUUAAAUAGUGCCAAAACCACAUAAUUUGAUGACCUUGACCUUUGACCUUGUGACCUUCGUCAAGGUCAUUGCUCCACAAGGUCAUUGCAAAAGACCCUAUGGGUCAAGGACCUUUGUUUAAGAGUUUUGCCUAAAUAUGGCUUUUUAAAAACCAUCGAUGGGAGUUAUGUCCCUUACAUGAUGGUAAAAUCAAUAUAGUCAUAAUGUAAAAAAGUUGCCCCUUGAAGUACUUAACAUUUUUCACUGCUUAAAUUUUCUGUAUCUAUAACCAUUCAAGAAUUAUAGGGAAAUCAAAGACAUAUGAAAAUCUAAAAUAUGACCUUGACCUUUGACCUUGACCUAAUUUUCUAAGUUAGGAAUCAGGGGACUCAAAUAAAAACAUUCCAGGGUUAUACGGUUAACGGUUUAUGAGUUAAAAAAAAACAUACCGACAAAUUUAUUCCGUAAAGAUAGAUAACUCCUAUAAAAUUUCAUCGAAUCGCUUCGAUCCAAAUUAGCCAAAAUUUUCUGAGGAUGUAACGAACAAUUUGUAAAAAGAAUUUUGUCGCUAUCUUUUUUUGUUACGAAGGAGAUGCACACACAUGAUAAACAGUGAAUAGGGAGAUAACUCUUACAGAGAAAAUUGUUCGUCUUAGCAGGGUGAAAUUUAAAAGCGCAUAAACUAUACGAUACAAUAUGAGAAAUAUCUAAGCGACAUAUUGCGAAACAAACAUUUAUCGCAAGAACAAAAGUUGGCGGAAAAAAAAAAAAAUAAUAAUAAUAAUAAUUAAAAACCAAUUGUUCAGAGAACAAUUGAAAGUCUUUCCACACCAAAGAAAUUUGGAUAAGAAGGUAGUUUCUUCAUACUGAUGCGAUAAAUAAUGGUUUAAUUAUCUUUUUGAGUGAUAUAAGGGAUAAUAUGCUACUUCCGGUGAAAUGAAUGUCACAUCCGGUCUCAUAUGAUAGCUUCUUUCACACUGAUUCCAAAAAUAUAUAGUUUCUAUAUACUUUUGUAUGUAGAAUGGGAGAUAAUUGGCCACUUCCGGUUUGUUGGAAGUCAUUUUUAGUCUUCAGUAAUCUUGUUCAUGUAUCUAUAUGACAAAAUAUAUGGAUUCUGAGUACUUUUAUGUGAAAAAAUUGCAAAAAAAGCUACUUCCGGUUUUCUCAAGGUCACUUCCGGUAGCCAUUUUUCAAGGUCAUUUGUCACUUAACCUUUUGUAUAAGGUCAAAUGUCUUUAUAAUGAACUUAAUUGAAGUUAUAAUCAAAUAACCUCAUAUCAAGACAUUUCAGGGGCACCAACUCCUAUAAGAUGCCAUUUAAUUGUAUAAGACUAAAUGUAGCAUAUCUUCAUUACAAUAAAGCAGACAUUUUGCACUUGUUCUUUUAUAUGUAUCUCUCAAAGUGUCGGAGAAAAUGCAAAAAACAAGCAAAAGUCACAAUUGAGAACUUGACCUUGACCUUUGACCUUGACCUCAUUUUCUAAGUUAGGACCUAGGGGACUCAAAUAAAAACAUUCCAGGGUUAUACGGUUAACUGUUUAUGAGUUAAAUAAACAUACCGACAAAUUUAUUUUGUAAAGGUAGAUAACUCCUAUAAAAUUUCAUCGAAUCGCUUCGAUCCAAAUACGCCAAAAAUUACUGAGGAUGUAACGAACAAUUUGUAAAAAGAAUUUUGUCGCUAUCUUUUUUUUGUUACGAAGGAGAUGCACACAGAUGAUAAACAGUGAAAAGGGAGAUAACUCUUACAAAGAAAAUGGUUCGGCUUAGCAGGGUGAAAUUUAAAAGCGCAUAAACUAUACGAUACCAUAUGAGAAAUAUCUAAGCGACAUAUUGCGAAACAAACAUUUAUCGCAAGAACAAAAUUUGGCGGAAGAAAAAAAAAAAAAUAAUAAUAA
rnacentral:lncRNA from 1 species